UCGGUCCGGGUGGGUCUAAGGCUGAUUGAUCCGCCGUGCGCACGCCAGCGCGUUCCUCUGUGGCAGGAGAGGGGGCCUGCGUGUGACGGAGCGUGCGUGGGAGGACGCACGUGUGUGUGCGCCCUGAUCACGGUGGUCUGUGGGUGGGGCGGAUCGUGCGCGCGCGCCCGACCUGUGCCCCCCCAAGCCAGCAGCCUUGCCUUACUGAUACCAGUACCUGCCUGCUGCUACCAUCCAGUCAACAUGUGGCAUCUUCCAGGCCACUGUGAUGAGUCAGGGAUGAGCAUCUGACUCUGGUUGGUCCAAUCAGCUUGUCCAGGGACUUUGGCUGGGAAGAUUGGAAAGGAGGCCAGCUUUUUGGGCUGGGAUUGCUAAGAGAUGUGAUGAUGAAGUGUGUGGCCUACCUGGCAUCUGGCCCCAGCUUCAGCUCCGUUUACUAUCUUGCUCCCCACGCUCACUAGCCUGCAUUGAGGCCUCCUCUGUGCCCCCCAACCCCUGAGUUUCUCAUCCCCAGAGAACCCAGCAUACACAGAAUUGAAGGGUUUUCUUAUUCAUCUUCCUGUGCUCACCCUGAGGACUGGGCCUGUGUCAUCAGCUAAUCACUGUCCCCUCAAGCACUCACAGUGGAAAAUAGAGUGCUAUGCAGCCCUGCAGCUUGCCAUCUGGAACAGUUCACAGGCAAGGCCUCCCACACUGAACCCUGCUCCAGCCAAAUAGUGCCAGCAACACAGAGCUACUUGUUACAUCAGCUCAGACCAAGCCACAUCCACAGGAGCAGUUGGUGAUUCCACAGAACUACAAGAGACUUGACCUCCUGGAAAUGAAUUAACCAAGAUUAAUGAAAAAGAUUAAGGUCAUGUGCCCUGUAAAAGUGUCCCUCACUGGAUAAACUGUGACAAGGUAGGGUACUGUGUGGUCUACCCAGCUGACCCUCUCCAUGGGUCAUUCUUUGCUUUUAUCACUACCUGGCACAUACCUUUACGUAUUUGUUUAUUGUCUUCCCUCCACCAGUGUUAGGUGUUUGCCCUUGCUGUAUCCCCUGUGCCUAGAACAGUGCCCAGCAUUGGCAGGUGGCCAAUAAUUGCAAAAUAAGCAAAUGUAUUAAUGAACCAUUA